rnacentral:miRNA from 1 species
GAUUGCACUAGUCCCGGCCUUC